GACGAACGCUGGCGGCGUGCUUAACACAUGCAAGUCGAACGGAAAGGCCCUGCUUUUGUGGGGUGCUCGAGUGGCGAACGGGUGAGUAACACGUGAGUAACCUGCCCUUGACUUUGGGAUAACUUCAGGAAACUGGGGCUAAUACCGGAUAGGAGCUCCUGCUGCAUGGUGGGGGUUGGAAAGUUUCGGCGGUUGGGGAUGGACUCGCGGCUUAUCAGCUUGUUGGUGGGGUAGUGGCUUACCAAGGCUUUGACGGGUAGCCGGCCUGAGAGGGUGACCGGCCACAUUGGGACUGAGAUACGGCCCAGACUCCUACGGGAGGCAGCAGUGGGGAAUAUUGCACAAUGGGCGGGAGCCUGAUGCAGCAACGCCGCGUGCGGGAUGACGGCCUUCGGGUUGUAACCCGCUUUCGCCUGUGACGAAGCGUGAGUGACGGUAAUGGGUAAAGAAGCACCGGCUAACUACGUG
rnacentral:rRNA from 1 species